rnacentral:rRNA from 1 species
AGAGGGGGGUAGAAUUUCAGGUGUAGCGGUGAAAUGCGUAGAGAUCUGAAGGAAUACCGGUGGCGAAGGCGGCCCCCUGGACAGAUACUGACACUCAGAUGCGAAAGCGUGGGGGAGCAAACAGGAUUAGAUACCCUGGUAGUCCACGCCGUAAACGAUGUCUACUUGGAGGUUGUGGCCUUGAGCCGUGGCUUUCGGAGCUAACGCGUUAAGUAGACCGCCUGGGGAGUACGGUCGCAAGAUUAAAACUCAAAUGAAUUGACGGGGGCCCGCACAAGCGGUGGAGCAUGUGGUUUAAUUCGAUGCAACGCGAAGAACCUUACCUACUCUUGACAUCCAGAGAACUUUCCAGAGAUGGAUUGGUGCCUUCGGGAACUCUGAGACAGGUGCUGCAUGGCUGUCGUCAGCUCGUGUUGUGAAAUGUUUGGGUUAAGUCCCGCAACGAGCGCAACCCUUUAUCCUUGUUUUGCCAGCGAGUAAUGUCGGGAACUCCAGGGAGACUGCCGGUGAUAAACCGGAGGAAGGUGGGGACGACGUCAAGUCAUCAUGGCCCUUACGAGUAGGGCUACACACGUGCUACAAUGGCGCAUACAGAGGGCAGCAAGCUAGCGAUAGUGAGCGAAUCCCAAAAAGUGCGUCGUAGUCCGGAUUGGAGUCUGCAACUCGACUCCAUGAAGUCGGAAUCGCUAGUAAUCGUGGAUCAGAAUGCCACGGUGAAUACGUUCCCGGGCCUUGUACACACCGCCCGUCACACCAUGGGAGUGGG